rnacentral:tRNA from 1 species
ACCGCGAUAGCUCAGCUAGUAGAGCAUCUGCCUGGUAUGCGGAGCUUUGCCGGUUAGGUCCCGGCUCGCGGCU